rnacentral:rRNA from 1 species
GGAAUUUUGCACAAUGGCCGAAAGGCUGAUGCAGCAACGCCGCGUGAGUGAUGAAGGCCUUCGGGUUGUAAAGCUCUGUUGUCCGUGACGAACGGCCUGCUCAGGAAAUGGGGCAGGUUUGACGGUAGCGGAAGAGGAAGCCCCGGCUAACUACGUGCCAGCAGCCGCGGUAAUACGUAGGGGGCGAGCGUUGUCCGGAUUUACUGGGUGUAAAGCGCGUGCAGGCGGUUCUGCAAGUGGGACGUGAAAGCGCCCGGCUCAACCGGGCGAGGACGUACCGAACUGCGGGACUAGAGGCAGGGAGAGGCGUGUGGAAUUCCGGGUGUAGUGGUGAAAUGCGUAGAGAUCCGGAGGAACACCAGUGGCGAAGGCGACACGCUGGGCCUGGCCUGACGCUCAGACGCGAAAGCAUGGGGAGCGAA